AACGAACGCUGGCGGCAUGCCUAACACAUGCAAGUCGAACGAGACCUUCGGGUCUAGUGGCGCACGGGUGCGUAACGCGUGGGAACCUGCCCUUAGGUUCGGAAUAACUCCCCGAAAUGGGUGCUAAUACCGGAUAAUUUCUUCGGACCAAAGAUUUAUCGCCUUUGGAUGGGCCCGCGUUGGAUUAGCUAGUUGGUAGGGUAAAAGCCUACCAAGGCGACGAUCCAUAGCUGGUCUGAGAGGAUGAUCAGCCACACUGGGACUGAGACACGGCCCAGACUCCUACGGGAGGCAGCAGUGGGGAAUAUUGGACAAUGGGCGAAAGCCUGAUCCAGCAAUGCCGCGUGAGUGAUGAAGGCCUUAGGGUUGUAAAGCUCUUUUACCCGGGAUGAUAAUGACAGUACCGGGAGAAUAAGCUCCGGCUAACUCCGUG
rnacentral:rRNA from 1 species